rnacentral:lncRNA from 1 species
UGGGGCUGAAUCUGUCUGAAAUAUUCCGUCUAAACAUCACUAUCAGGGUAAGAAGUAUAUCAGUCAUUGUUGUUGUAUAGUUUAAAGCUUACUACGUAACUGCUGGAAAACCAAAGACUAUUGAGGGAAUUUAAUGAUAUUAGCCUCAUUUUCUCCGAGGGUGUUAACAUACAAGGUAAUGUAUAAGCUCUAAAACUAAAGUUGGGUUUAAUUGGGCAUCAUGAUCAGAUACUAAAGGGUUAUUUUAGUUCAUAAGUUUGUAGAAGUUAUGGCUCUGGUAAGUGAUUAGCAACAAUAGAUGCUGGUCAUUUCUUCGUCCUUAACAAAAAUCUGUGGGGAGAACCAGCACAAAGCUUGACGAGCGUGUUCUGCAGACAUUUUCAAGUCUAAGACGUAAUUUGUCUGAUUUUGAGAGACUCUGACCCAAGCAUUUAGCUUCAAUGCUGUUUGCUAAUCAGCUUAUUGGGUUUGCAGUGUACGAAUCCCUGACGUAUUGUGAAUUUUGAUAUCCUUCCAUCUUGUUUUUGCAUAAUUUUAAGUGCCAAAGGUUACCUGUUAGACACAGUAAUAUGUAUAGUCUGUUAUUUCAGCUAAUAUGGCCUAAGACGGGGGCUAGUCUGUACAGCUCAAAAGUCUCCAAAGUCACUUGCUGCUGACUCGGGAUACACACUGGACACUGGACAGCUGUCCAUCCUUAGGGAAUUAUUCUUUGGACUUAAAUAUGAGUGCUGGCACCUUUUUCAUUUCUGAUUUGAUAAAACAAGCAUAAACAUGCAUAGACUGUAACAUUACCCUUAAAAAAAACUGUGUUUGAAGAUUGUCUCCCACUCAGUUUUUCUAGAUUUUUUUCUUUAUUAUUUUUUACUCAGUAUUUAUCUCUUGGUUGCGGAACAGAGUCUUAAAUGAACAAGGCAGUGCCCUCUGGUUGACGAAAGAUCCUGUUUGCAGCCUCAUGUGCAGAAACUGUAGUUACCAGGCAAGUUGUUUUCUGGGUUUGAGUCCACAAGUGCCCAAUUUCCCCAGAUAUUUUAGGAUCUUGUAACUUAGAUCUUGGAUUUUGGUUUGAAUUGGGCAGAGUCGGUCUCAAAUAUUUAUUAAAUAAUUACCUUAGUCUUCCAACAGCUAUUUGGCUGACAACACCAAGUGCUAGCAUCAUUCCCAGGAUAUGCGUCUUGGCUUAUAUUGAUGUUUGAUGCUGAAUGCAGUUAACUGUUUUGACAAUGGAUGAGGCUGCUUGAUAAUUAUUCACUAUAUACUGAAAAAAGUUGUCGUUUUGAUUUUUUAUUUGAACUACAUUGAAAAGUUCAGGUAAUCACGGCUAACACUACAUGUGCAAUACCAUAGACAUAAAAUAUGUGGACGCCUUAUAGACUGACGCUGCCUAUUGGAGCUAACAUAUCAGCGCGGCAGCCAUCUUGGACAUGGAUCAAAUUUAUAUUUUAAUUUUACUUUUUAAAUGUGAUCUGAUAUCAGCACUGCGUCUGAUUUUUCAACCAUAGUUGCUUGUUCUCUGUUGACUCUGUUUGGCUCUAGUACGAGUCCAGAGUAAGGAAACCCAUCCAAUAUGGCAGAUUAUGCUCCAGCAUGUAAUCAGGCAUCUACUACGUAUAUCAUGUCUUUGUGCAAAACCACCUGCUUUUCUCCGAACAUAAAUCUACAAUCAUCCGACAACAAUGAGGCAGUUACAGUUUGCUUUUGUAAGGCAUGAAAAAACAUAAAUGUGAAUUACAGUCUAUUUAAUAGAUGUCAAAAAAGUCCUCAUAGGCACUUUUUUUGAGGCUUUAAGAAAGCUCUUUAGACAAGUCCAGUAGGAUAUCUGGACCAAGACCUCUUUUUGCGAUGCAUGACUGUAUAUAAUUUGCUCUACAUUUGAAUGUAAAAACUGCAUCUACAAAACACAAAUAUCAAUCUGCAUUUACAUGUAAUUAUACCUCAACGUUAAAGUCAAAUGCAGUACCACUCACACAAGCAUUUCUGUGUACCUAAAGUUGUACAUUGUUAAUUAUCAUACAGUGACCAGCAAAGAUGACCAUUUUUAGACCACAGGGCUCCCACUUCUCCCUCUGAUUUAGACAAAGGCAACCUAAAUGUGACUUUAUUGAUGGUUUGACUAAUGUCACAUUUGGUAUUGUAGGCAGAUGUCAACCUAAAUGUGAUCUACCAUGGUCACACAGUCUGAGACUGAUAGAGUGAUAAAGUCAGCAAAAUCAACUGUUUUCCAAGCCUUAUGGUAAAUACAGUUUAUCACUUAGAUUCUGUGGGUUCUUACUGAGACUGCCAAAUUUAAUAUCAUAAACAUUUUCACUAUUCUAAUCCAUGUUUUCAGAGACCUCAAGCUUGAUAUGUUUUUGUAAGAUUUUUUCUUCCUGCUGAGGAAAACACUGACCAUCUUACAGAGCAACAUUUUUCCAAAGCUCAUCAUAAAAAAUGCCCUGGGGCCGCCCCCUGUGGUAGUAAUCUCAAAUCACUGAGCUCUAAACAAUGUUAAGCACAAGCGUGCACAUUAAAAGACUCUGCAAAUCUGUCCCCUCCACUCUGUCGUGCACAAAGCCUGUGACCCUGUCACCACAUGCUUUUAUGUAGUCUGUGUCCUUCGAACAAUUCAUGUUUAAUGUAUCACUUCUCUUUUACUUGUCUAGCCGUGCUCGCAGGCUGUUCAAAAGAACGUACAGCAGCUUGGAGCUCGUUAUAUCUCUAUAGGAGAGUAAUAAUGCUCCAUCUGCUUUUUAGAUUCUGAUAUUAAGACACCUUUAAACAGGUGUUUAAGAUCUGCCCAGCUUUAACUAGUGAGCCAUUUGGGCGUGAUGGUUUCCCUAAUACUGGGGCUGAAUCCACACAAUCCUCAGGACUAUUUGCAAUUACCGACUAUGCUCGAACUGUGUGCACACUAGCUUAAGAAGCACAUGAGACGGAGAGUGAGGAAGACACAGAUAUGGGGGGAUUAAAGCGGAUCUGAGCAAAUGCAUCACGGCUCAGGUCAUUUGUGUUUACAUCGCAGUAAGGAAAUUCAUUUUUUAUUACUCUAGGCACUGUAUCAAUCCCAUUGACAAUUCUUUCCAGAUGUGUGUGCGCAUCCCAAGGGUGUCUGAGCAGCAUCUACGGGGCUGAUGGAGAGACUUAGAAGAGAGCUCACAUCUGUCCCUCUCGCCAGUUUUAUUUUCUCUGGGAGAGCAACCUUUUCAUCACUCUGACAGAGGAGGAGAAAGUGCUUUCUGACUGCACUGAAUUCCUCUGUAAGUACAGCACAUCCUGAAAAAGUGUGCUCCUUUUAUGAGUGACGUGUGUUUGGUUUGUUUCUCCCCAUCUAUAAUGUCAGAAGGUCACUCCUUCCCUCGUCUCGGGUGGUUUAAGGAGGUAAAGAGGCACUAUAAGCUACUGAUGGUGCUUUACUUCAGACAGCUCUUGCUGGUGAUUUCUUUGCCCCAUUUCCUUGUGAUUUUACCAAAUGUACCUUUGAGACCUGUAGUCAGAUAAUCACAGAUCAUUUCAGAUGACAUUUCAUUCAAUUGUUUGCCGUGUUAUGCUGUCACCAUUUCCUGUCAUUUAUUAAAUACACCAUUUUGUGAAAAUCUAAUUCAGGACCCUGUUGGUUUUACAAGGGGGUUUAUAAGGACGUCAGGGUUUGUUUGUUGUAACUUAACUUGCUCUGAGUUAGUGUUCACACUGCUGUUCAAAAUAUGGACAUGUUAGCUGUAGAAGAUAUGAUUUGAGAAUAAAUAAGAAACUUGUUGAUUAAAACGUGAACAUAAGAAAUGAAACAAAAUAAACUCUGUGUGCACUAGGUAAAGAUAUAUUGUAUGCACAAGAUAAUAACAUCCCCACAAGAUAAAUACCAUGUAAAAGUUGUUACCCUGUACGCAAAAGUCAUGAUCUCAUGGGCAUUAAAUGAUGGCUUAACUGCAAGAUAAUUUUAAUGUGAUCUUGUUGAAAAAAAAAAAAAAAAUCUUGUGUGCAUAGAUAGUAUUCUAGGGACAACGAUAUAUAUGUGUAUAUAUACAUAUAUAUAUAUAUAUAUAUAUAUACACACACACACACACACACACACACACACACACACACAUAUAUAAAAUUACAAGAUGAAUAUUGUGUGAGCACUGGAUAAUCAAAUAAUAAUAAUAAUAAUAAUAAUACUAUUUUAUUUAAAAGCGCCUUUCUGGACACCCAAGGACACUGUACAGGGCAUUAAAAACACAGUUAAAAUACAGUUAAAACAAAUUAAAAACAACAUGCAGGUAUGAAGAUGGACAGUUAAAGAGAAUAUGCAAUUUGGAACAGAUGUGUUUUGAGUUUUGAUUUGAAGUGGGGUAGUGAGUCCAUGUUUCUGAGAUCCGGGGGGAGAGAGUUCCAGAGUUUGGGGGCAGACAACAUAACUAUCUUUAUAAUUAGCUCCAAUUAUAAAAAAAGUGUAUAUAUCUUUUAGACACCAGUUAAUUGUCUUGUAUGAACAAGAUACUUUUGUUAGCACAAUGAUUAUUUAACACACAAGACAAGGCACAAGAAAACCGCUUGUUCAUGAGUAAACACAUGUGGGAAAAGUGAAUAUCAAUAUUUAUUUUCUAUGCAUAAUAUUACUUUUGUGAGUUUGAGAAUAACUUUUUUCGCUCUCUAAAUAUCCCAUGUACACAAGAGAACUGCAAGAGCACAUGGUCAUUAUAAUCUGUGCACAAAGUAUCAACUUCUCCCCACAAGAGGAAUAUAAAGAGUGCAAAACUAAAUUGUCUUGAGUGCAUAAUAUAAAAGAUUUACUUUUUGGGACUCAGCUCAUCAAUAAUUUAAGGAAGGUGACUUCAAACUUUUUUGAAGGAUAUAUUAAAAUCCACCAGAAACCAAAAAUAUGAGCAGGCAAUCAAAUAGUAUAUAAACUUCAGCAUUUCAGAUGAAAGGAAUUAUUACAGAGUUGAUUCUUGAUUUUGUUUUUUUGUUUUUUUUUGGUGUAAAAACACUAAAACAUUUCAAAAUGAUGACAAAGAUGGAGAAAGUAAAGAGGGAGAAAGCGGGUCUUGAAAUAAAAGAAAUGUUUAUGAAAAGAAUGGAAAGCAUCAGUAUGAAUAUUAUUAUCAUAAUCUAAAAAAACACAUAUGGAAACUUUUGAUUUAAAGUAAGAGGUGAGGAAAAACCUUCAGAAACAGGAUUUUCAGUAUGACAAUUAAAGGAGGCGGUAUAGGGCUGAGAGGAAAAGUCUGAAGUGACUAAGUCUGUCUCGGGGUUUGUGCAGGUACAUCUUCACGCUCUGCUGGGUCUGGUCCAGACAGGAGAGAUGACCCAGAGUCAGGCCAAAAUGUUUACUGGCAGAUGUGUUUUAAAGGAGCUCUCCUUAGCUGGUCAUGGCAGCGGAAAAUACCCUGCUGUUCGCUGCAUCUGCAAUUCGCUGCUCUUCCCAAUUCCACCUACAAAAUCCUGACCUUUUAAAGAAAUGAUGGAUGAGCUGGCCAUGCUACUGUUUCUUCCCCUUUCUGGUCUUUUUCUUUCUUUUUUUCCAUUCCAUUGAAGAUUGAAGCUCCUGUCUAUGGUAGGCUUCCAGGCAAAUUCUGCCCCUCCUUUGCUCACUGUUUCAAAUCACUUUAAAGUCUGAUGCUGGCUUUGGCCAGAGCCCUUUGGCACUUGGCUUCUGUGCAGCGGUUCGCGUCAGAAGCUACGAUUUGAGAUUUGCAGAUGACAUGAGCAAUGCUUAGCUUGUGGCUGUGGAGGUGGUUUAAAGUAAAGUCAGUAAUGUGUAAAAAGGAUGUGACUGGCUUCACUUCAACACUUCAUAGAUUGAUUCAGUCAGUCUUUAAAAAAACACUAUUAGUGUUAAAACUAAUCAACAAGGUAUCUUUAUCCUCCUGGUACUCUCUGUACACUGGGGUGAGGUUUAUUUUUUUAUUUUUUUAUGCACUGACCAAUAUUUUUGUGGAUGUGAAAUUUGUGCACGUUAUUUGUUGUUCUUCAUGGUGCGUCCUCUCUGUUGCUAUCACUUCAUUUCCCAGUGUUACAUCUUAUUCAGCCGCUAAUGUUGAACUAUCAUCCUGAUUUUUCAGAGUAAACCUCUUUACUGACCUCUUCACUGAGACGUAUCACUCCAGCACAUUUUACAUUUAAGGUAAGAGAACUCUUCAUCCUCUUCCUCUCAGAGUGCCAUGUUUUCUUUUCCAUGUGUCAGAUGAAGUGAGAAAUAUUUUUAGACUAAAACUGCUACUUCAAUAUUUUACAUCAAUACUAUUUACAAAAUUAAUAACCAUCAGACUCGAGGCUGGUAAAAACUGGCUAUGAAAUGAUAAUCUGUGUUUUUAAGCUCUUUCCAAGAUUAAAAGGUAAUCAUUCUGCGUGCCAGCUCUUCCUCAGACUGCCUGGAGAAAGUUCACACUCUGAUGAACAUCAUCAUCUCGCUGUGAUGAAGCGCUCUCGCUCUGCAGGUCUUUUCCAGCAAUGCCUGAUCAGCUAUAGUUUGCAUGAAAGGCUCCUACAAUAUGAUAUAUGUAAGUAACCUAUGUUAUUUUUCCAAACAAGCUACAAAUACUGAGCUAUGAAUUUUACGAAUAUAUAAAAAGACUCGAUUUGCAGGUGAGCGUUGGGGUCACAUUACAAAAGAGGAAAAAUGUGAACAACAAAGUCAAUAAUGUAUUAGCAAAAAGGUAUAGUAUUAGCCCACAGCUUGUCUUAAAUUGGAAGAGCAGAAAAAUGCUGCUCAUUUUUCACUGAUUGUCUGACAGCUGCUUACCAGGACCUGUCUGUUUGUUUAGGACAUGUGUGGAUGUCAGUCUUGACCCGUCUGUGUUGUAGCUUUAUGUAUAGUGAAGUGAGCUCUUAUGUGUAUAUUUUAUAGUCUUUAAUGCUACAUGUAGAUUUUUAUUCAUUAUAAUACACUGUCACAGCUGUAAAUAUGUGGUUGGACCCCAGGAAGCUCAUGGGAAUCCUAAUAAACUAGUCUGACAGGCAGGCUGAAUGGUAACCACUGUUUCUUCCUGUCCAUUGAGAAUAACUUUGCAGGAUAAUCUGCGUCCUCCAUUGUAGAGCGAGCAGAUAGCUGUUUGAGUAUAUAAAUUUUAUUAUUUAAUUCUUUCAAGACAAUAACUUUGUUCUAAUAAAUUCACCACAAUAUAUCAACAUUAUUGUCUCAAUCUUAUCCUGGUACUGGGUCUUUGAAAUUACAACAAACAUGGUUAAAUAAAACACAAAUAUAUCUGAGAUCUCCUCUUUUAGGGCCUGUAAGACCUUACAAUAUGGACCGGAUUUGUGCAUUUAGACCUUUGAUUCAAAUCCUAAACUCAACUCUGUGUGCAGGACUUCUGAAUGUGCUCUACAGUGUUCAGCUGUCUGGGAACUGAGGCAUAUCUACUGUGGCCAACAGUCCUCCUGAGAAUACAAUAUGCCCAGGGCAUUGUUUAGUUUGAAAAAUCCUCAACAAGAGCUUUUUCUGGAAUCUAUUGGUCCCCUACCCCUCCAAGAUUGUGUGAGAAAGAGCAAACAUAUGAGAGAAAACCUUGACAGCGUCCCAGACAGUCAAUCCCUAGAGACUGUGUCCACUAAUAAUUUACUUUUCAGGAGGUGAUGCGUUUACCGAAGGUUACAAUUGAUGUGCUAAAAUAUUGAUAAGGGACAUUUUAUAGGCUUGGAAAGAGGAAGGACAAUUGACUCCACACAAGGACUGAGAGGUUAUACAGAGUGCACAGAGCUGCUGAUUUAGCUAUACUGCAUUCAGGUGUUAAACGCAGUUUGUAAAAUACGUCUAAUUCAGAAAUACACAACACAAAAUAUACGUUAGCAUUAGUGUUGUCACAGUUACCUUGAAAAAAAAUCUGAUUACUCCUUUAAAAAGUGACUCAGUUACUUUAUUAAUGACUUGAUUUUAAAAGUAACUAAGUUAGAUUACAAGUUACUCUAUUAGUUAUAUUCAGCAACUGCCGACGACAUGCCACCCCCCUCAACCUCAACAUAAAAACCAGUCAACUGUGUUUAAGCGCAGCAUUUCCUCUACAACAAACUGCCUGACCAACUUCUUCAACUCUCCCUCAAUUUCUGGUUUAGCACUUCAGUCCAGCUCUUGUUGUUUGGGUGGUAGGGGACCUCCUGUAAUAGUCCCAGCUCUCUGUUUUGCACCACCUGCUGGGACUCUCUUUGUAAGUUUGACUGUGCUGUGCUGCAACAAAUGUUUCUUCAAAUUUGACAUAGUGUUUUUCAAGCAAGAUAACACUUUGUCACCAUUGCCAGCACAGAGUAAACAAUGAACCUUAAUUUUUUCUCAUCUUUAGUUGACACAAACUCAAAAUAGUGACAGUAUUUCCGGCAAGAAAACACACAUCUCUUUCCUCCCUACAUUGUUGUUUACGUUUAUGUCGUUGGCUGCUUGGUAUGUAUUACACGUGAGUUGUCCUAUACAUGAUGUCACUCUCAAUGACAAAAAUUACUCAUAACUCAUAAAUUACUCAUUACUGAAAAAAGGUGGUCAUAUUCGAGAACCAGCAUCCCUGGUUAGCAUACACAUAAGUAACCCUUAAUACAGAGCAAUUUCAAACUUAGAUUUUUAAGUACAGAUGGACAGAUCAUGUACGCUAUUCCUCUGACAAGGACGGUUUUUGGCGAAAGCGCUUUCAAGGCUUUUGCACCCUCCUCCUGGUGUAAAUUACAGGGUUAUUUUAAAUUGGAUUAUCUGCCAAGUAUGGCAAAUUUUAAAACUAGAAUCAAGGAGUUUUAAAGUACUGAAUGCACAUGUCUUCUUACUGAACGCUGAUUUAUUGUUGUGUUUUGCAUACUGUAACUGUUUUGUGUUUCUGUGUGUGUGUUUUUCUUUUCUUUAUGUGGAACUUCUUGUGCUGCUAUCCUGGCCAGGACCCCCUCGUAAAAGAGAUUCUGAAUCUCAAUGGGUUUUAUUUCCUGGUUAAAUAAAGGUUACUAACUAACUAAGUGUUUCUCAAAUUUGUGAAUAUUUUUUUGGUUUGACAAAGCUCUAACACAGGGAGCUGAAGAGUGCAAUACUGCUGUUCCACCUAAGGCCACUUGGGGCUAUUUCCAAUUGUGAGUCAACACCCAUAAGAUCCUAUUUGAAAUGCUUAACUUCCAGAACAAAACCUAUUUUUAUAUCAUUUGUAACAACAUCUGUGUUUCUUUGGCUCAUUUGCUUGUCUUACACUACUUUACAGAGGGUGAAGAUGUAUAUUUAUCAUCCAUUCAAAUUCAAUCAAAGCUUUAGAAGGAACAGCCUCCUUCAGUGACUUGGGGGAUAUGCAGUGCUCAAUUUGUUCCGGGGCAAGCCGGAGCGUGCGCCGGGACCUGUUUGAUCUGCUCCGGGACCUUCCCUGUCAAUAAAUAAACUGUGUUUUUAUCUAUGUUUUCUCUGUGUUUUAUUUCUCUCUGAAGUGACACCUGUUAGCUUAUUUCUUAUGCAUUUUACUCAGAAAUUAGGUAAAACAGGGGGAAAAAGUGAUUUAUGCCGUCACGUGUCACUACGCAAUGCGCAUUGGGAUGGUUUUGUUUCUGCACCGGCACCACGCGCAAAUAUUGUGUGCCAAAUGUUGCUGCAAAUGCUAGACUAGGUAGGUGCGGAAAUUAGGUGAAAAAGACAAUAAAAACUUGUUAAAAACCAGAGAAAAAAAGGAUAUUUUUGCGGCGCGCGCUCCAGAGGGGGACCCGGCACCUCCUGGAGGACAAUUUAAGCACUGGGGAUAUGUAACUUUGGCAGUCUAUGUAAUGUUGAUGUUUUUAAAGACCGUCCAAGAUAAAUGGUGGUAUUAGCAGAAAUAACAUCUGAUCACUUCCCAUUCGUGCAUGUUGCACACUUGUCAGUGAUCAGUUUCUCAGAUAUUUUUGAUGUGCAAUUGCAAACCCUGGAAUUCUAAUCACUGUUAGCUGUUCCGUGUGGAAAAAAUGGUGGGUCAGGGCCGCUGCAAAACCAUUAUAAUUUCUUCAUAAACACGAAGACUAUCUACAUUAAUUAGUACAGUGACUCUGUACUGUAGGUCAUCCAUGAUUGUGAAAGCAUUUCACUGAAUGCCAAAAAACCUACAUAGAAAUUUAAAAAAUGUGUAAUGAAAUGCCAAAAAUAUGCACAUAAUAUAAAAAAUGCUUCAAUAAACACAUUAUAAAAUGCGUAAGUGCAAAAUUAUAUCUCCAAAUUUCAAACUUUCACAGAAUGUAUUUUUGAUGAAAACAAAAAUGAAAUGUGUGAACAUGGCACACUCUGUGACUUUUAUGCACUCUUUCAAAUUGUUUUCCCCACUGUUAUAUGUUAUGGUGAGUCAUGAGAUGUUAUAGCAUUUUUUUUUUUUUUUUUUGGUCUGUUUAACGUUUUUGCAUUUCACGAGAUAAUUUGCAGAUUUCAAAAUUUGUUUUAUUUCACAAUAAAUUAAUUUAUCUUUUUUUUUUUUUUUUUUUAAAUGCUUUACACUGAAAAUUGGCCUUUUGAGCCAUAGUUAGUUUGGUGUGUGUGUGUGUGUGUGUGUGUGUGUGUGUGUGUGUGUGUGUGUGUGUGUGUGUGUGUGUGUGUGUGUGUGAUGUUAUGUGAUCCCUGUGCAGGUGACUCCUCCAACAACUGUAUAUUGGCCACUUUAUAAAACUAUCCAAUGUCUGCACAAGGUUUGGAAAUUAGAAUUUGCCAGUCCCUCACUUUUUCAGGGUACACAUUCUCCCGUUACCAGGUUGUCAAUUCUGUCUCCAAAUUCACAAUGUAAAAGCAAAUUUCGCUAAACCACGGGCUUUGAAACGAUGAGCUCCUUGUCCUAACAGUCUUUGUUUUGCAGUAGUUGAAUGAUGCCAGACUAAAGAAUUAGCAGGACUACAUAGAUGUCUUCAUUAACUAUCAGUUUGAAUAAGUAAUUGAUGGAGCGCUUUCUUCUUCCAAUGAAAAUAACUUUAACUGCAUAUUAACACAGACAUUGAUGAUAGAACAGAUCCAGUAGUGUCUUGUAUUUUUGAAGUGCAAAUGUGAUGACAUGAUAAUAUUGAUGGCCAUGCUGGUGACACAUGUGGCCCAAGGCGAGGUCAACUACAGUGAGUCCUUCAUUGUAAUGCCUGCUCUACAGGGAUGCUCCGACACAUGCCCCUGCCCCCUCCAGCCGUCCUGCAGCAGCCAGAGCCCACAAUCCCUCGCUGAUGAGACAAAGCUGCCC